GACGAACGCUGGCGGCGGGCUUAACACAUGCAAGUCGAGCGGUGAAGCGGGGUGAGUGCGCUGAGAGGGAGGGUGGCGAACGGGUGAGUAAGAAGCGAGUAAGCUGCCCUCGACACUGGGAGGGGCAAGGGGAAGAGGGACGAACAAUGGAUACGAAAUGUCAACGCAGGGUGGUGUGGGGAGAGGGAUUUACUGGUUUUGUAUGGGCUCACGGCCUAUCAGCUUGUUGGUGGGGUAAUGGCUCACCAAGGCGACGACGGGUAGCCGGCCUGAGAGGGUGACCGGCCACACUGGGACUGAGACACGGCCCAGACUCCUACGGGAGGCAGCAGUGGGGAAUAUUGCACAAUGGGCGGAAGCCUGAUGCAGCGACGCCGCGUGAGGGAUGACGGCCUUCGGGUUGUAAACCUCUUUCAGCACGGAAGAAGCGAAAGUGACGGUACGUGCAGAAGAAGCGCCGGCUAACUACGUG
rnacentral:rRNA from 1 species